CAGCAGCCGCGGUAAAACAGAGGGUGCGAGCGUUAAUCGGAUUUACUGGGCGUAAAGCGUGCGUAGGCGGCUUCUUAAGUCGGAUGUGAAAUCCCUGAGCUUAACUUAGGAAUUGCAUUCGAUACUGGGAAGCUAGAGUAUGGGAGAGGAUGGUAGAAUUCCAGGUGUAGCGGUGAAAUGCGUAGAGAUCUGGAGGAAUACCGAUGGCGAAGGCAGCCAUCUGGCCUAAUACUGACGCUGAGGUACGAAAGCAUGGGGAGCAAACAGGAUUAGAUACCCGCGUAGUCCCUGUCUCUUAUAC
rnacentral:rRNA from 1 species